GUGCUGUGGACUACUCAGGUUCGUGUCGGAGGCUGAAGAGCCGUCGCCUUGUGAAGGCCAGACCUGCCUUUGGAAUCAUUUCCUGAGGUGAAUGGGUGCGAGGUGCUCUCUGAAAAUGAGCAGCGAUCCAGUGUGACUUAAAACUCGCCAGGAGGACCCGAAAGCGUUUUAACACCAGGAAGCAGCAGCUCGCUGGGCGGAGGGCAGAGCUCGCCUGAUAGGUUUGAUUGCUUCCUCUUUAGCAAUGCGUAUCGUUCAAAAAAUUGAGGCUUUGAAAGAGGAAAUGUUUCUUCAGCGCCCAUGGAACCGGCUCGCCCCGUAAGAUUGUUUCGAGGAAUCAGUAAGAUGAUAAAGCAAUAAAUAAAAAUUAAAAGGGGUCACAAACGUGAA